AUUGAACGCUGGCGGCAUGCCUUACACAUGCAAGUCGAACGGCAGCACGGGAGCAAUCCUGGUGGCGAGUGGCGAACGGGUGAGUAAUAUAUCGGAACGUGCCCAGUGAUGGGGGAUAGCCCGGCGAAAGCCGGAUUAAUACCGCAUACGACCUACGGGUGAAAGCAGGGGAUCGCAAGACCUUGCGUCAUUGGAGCGGCCGAUAUCAGAUUAGCUUGNGGUGGGGUAAAAGCCUACCAAGGCGACGAUCUGUAGCUGGUCUGAGAGGACGACCAGCCACACUGGGACUGAGACACGGCCCAGGACUCCUACGGGAGGCAGCAGGUGGGGAAUUUUGGACAAUGGGCGCAAGCCUGAUCCAGCCAUGCCGCG
rnacentral:rRNA from 1 species